GACGAACGCUGGCGGCGUGCUUAACACAUGCAAGUCGAACGGAAAGGCCCUGCUUUUGUGGGGUUCCCGAGUGGCGAACGGGUGUGUAACACGUGAGUAACCUGCCCUUGACUUUUUUAUAACUUCAUGAAACUGGGGCUAAUACCUGAUAGGAUCUCCUGCUGCAUUGUGGUGGUUGGAAAGUUUCGGCGGUUGGGGAUGGACUCGCGGCUUAUCAGCUUGUUGGUGGGGUAGUGGCUUACCAAGGCUUUGACGGGUAGCCGGCCUGAGAGGGUGACCGGCAACAUUGGGACUGAGAUACGGCCCAGACUCCAACGGGAGGCAGGAGUGGGGAAUAGUGCACAAUGGGAGGAAGCCUGAUGAAGAAAAGCCGCGUGCGGGAUGACGGCAUUCGGGUUGUAAACAGAUUUCGCAUGUGACGAAGAGUGAGUGACGGUAAUGGGUAAAGAAGCACCGGCUAACUACGUG
rnacentral:rRNA from 1 species